rnacentral:rRNA from 1 species
ACAGAAUCCUUCGGGAGGACGUCUGUGGAACGAGCGGCGGACGGGUGAGUAACACGUGGGCAACCUGCCUGUAAGACUGGGAUAACUCCGGGAAACCGGGGCUAAUACCGGAUAACUCAUCGAAUCACAUGAUUCGAUGUUGAAAGAUGGCUUCUGCUAUUACUUACAGAUGGGCCCGCGGCGCAUUAGCUAGUUGGUGGGGUAACGGCCUACCAAGGCAACGAUGCGUAGCCGACCUGAGAGGGUGAUCGGCCACACUGGGACUGAGACACGGCCCAGACUCCUACGGGAGGCAGCAGUAGGGAAUCAUCCGCAAUGGACGAAAGUCUGACGGUGCAACGCCGCGUGAGUGAGGAAGGUCUUCGGAUCGUAAAACUCUGUUGUUAGAGAAGAACAAGUGCCGUUCGAAUAGGGCGGCACCUUGACGGUACCUAACCAGAAAGCCACGGCUAACUACGUGCCAGCAGCCGCGGUAAUACGUAGGUGGCAAGCGUUGUCCGGAAUCAUUGGGCGUAAAGCGCGCGCAGGCGGUUCCUUAAGU